AAGGAUCAUUAUCGUGGGGCUUCGGCCCCGUCGAGAUGGCACCCUUGCCUUUAUGAGUACCUUGGUUUCCUCCCCCGGCCAUCGGGGGGUGGGAUGACCUCGUUUGUUUCCCCGGAAGGCAACCAUACCCCGGGGACCGCCAAAAGAAAACACGCUGCAAUCACCUGUAAUCGUCUGAUAAAACAAGCAAAAGUCAAAACUUUCAACAACGGAUCUCUUGGUUCUG
rnacentral:misc_RNA from 1 species